GGGCUCACACAAGCGGUGGAGGAUGUGGCUUAAUUCGAGGCUACGCGAAGAACCUUAUCCUAGUCUUGACAUGUAUGGAUUAACCCUGUGAAAGCAGGGCCACGCCUUCGGGUGGAACAUACACAGGUGCUGCAUGGCUGUCGUCAGCUCGUGUCGUGAGAUGUCGCGUUAAGUCGCUUAACGAGCGAAACCCUUGUCUCUAGUUGCCAGCGUGUAAUGGCGGGGACUCUAGAGAGACCGCCGGCGUUAAGCCGGAGGAAGGUGGGGAUGACGUCAAGUCCUCAUGGCCCUUAUGACUAGGGCUGCACACGUCCUACAAUGGAACGCACAAAGGGAAGCGAAACCGCGAGGUC
rnacentral:rRNA from 1 species